AAUCCUGGAGUUGGGAUUUAUUU
rnacentral:snRNA from 1 species